GUCUCAUCACAUAGGCAGUGGGAAGAGUGUAAUAGCUGCUUCGGGGAGUGGAAGAGGCUGAAAGGAAGACAAAGAGUUAAGAUGGAGAAACAAGAUGGUAGUGGUGGAGAGAACCAGUGAAGGAGAAGGUUAAGGUGGUGCUGAGAAGGAAUAGAGAGAUUUUUCUUCUCCUUAAGAGAAGCAGAGGAAAGAAUCCUGCUGAUGACAAUAUAGGGAUAUCUGGCUCCAGGAAUAACAGAUUCUAUGGUACUCAGCUUCUUCAAAAUGGUGUAUAAUGCUGGUAUUUCACCGAAGAUUCAGGGUUGCAAAUCCUUGAGUUUUGUGUGGCCACAGCCACUACCUGGGAUUGUCCCAAGAGAAAUGUAACCAUAGACAUCCAGGUGAAUUAGGGAGAGUGCAAGUGAAGACAGUAUACUGGCAAGAAGUCUUGGAAAUGCUGAGGAAGCCAUGGAAUUGCUGGUCUUUUCAACUUUGUCAAAUUUUGAAGUUACCAUAAACAAUGAUAUUUCUGGUUCGUUUCCCUUUUUUGUAUUUUUUCUUGAAAUGUAUUUGUUAAAAUGAGAUGAUUAAAUCAUAAGCUAUAACAAACCCUCUAGCUCUUGUUAUAUACCGUCUGAUUGAACCAAUUCAUUACAUUAUGUCCUAUAAUACAUUUAAAAUUUCAAUUCAGUAAAUAUGCAAUAGUAUCUCAUACUUGUUUUAAGUUGUGUUUAUU
rnacentral:lncRNA from 1 species